rnacentral:rRNA from 1 species
AACGAACGCUGGCGGCAGGCCUAACACAUGCAAGUCGAACGAAGUCUUCGGACUUAGUGGCGGACGGGUGAGUAACACGUGGGAACGUGCCUUUAGGUUCGGAAUAACUCAGGGAAACUUGUGCUAAUACCGAAUGUGCCCUUCGGGGGAAAGAUUUAUCGCCUUUAGAGCGGCCCGCGUCUGAUUAGCUAGUUGGUGAGGUAAAGGCUCACCAAGGCUACGAUCAGUAGCUGGUCUGAGAGGAUGACCAGCCACAUUGGGACUGAGACACGGCCCAAACUCCUACGGGAGGCAGCAGUGGGGAAUCUUGCGCAAUGGGCGAAAGCCUGACGCAGCCAUGCCGCGUGGAUGAUGAAGGUCUUAGGAUUGUAAAUCCUUUCACCGGUGAAGAUAAUGACUGUAGCCGGGGAAGAAGCCCCGGCUAACUUCGUGCCAGCCGCCGCUGUAAAAC